rnacentral:rRNA from 1 species
UACGUAGGGUGCAAGCGUUUAAUCGGAAUUACUGGGCGUAAAGCGUGCGCAGGCGGUUGUGCAAGACCGAUGUGAAAUCCCCGGGCUUAACCUGGGAAUGGCAUUGGUGACUGCACGGCUAGAGUGUGUCAGAGGGGGGUAGAAUUCCACGUGUAGCAGUGAAAUGCGUAGAGAUGUGGAGGAAUACCGAAGUGGCGAAGGCAGCCCCCUGGGAUAACACUGACGCUCAUGCACGAAAGCGUGGGGAGCAAACAGG